CCCGACUGCUAUUUGGGUGAGAAUAAGCCAUGCGAGUUGAAUGGGAUACCUAAAGUUCCCAUAGCAAACUGCUCAGUAACACAUGAUCAACUUACCCUAUAGAGAAAAAUAACCUCGGGAAACUGAGGAUAAUGUUUCAUAAUUGAAUUGGCUUGGAAAAGUUUUUCAAUGAAAGGGAUAAAAAAAAUGGUUUUUAUCUGCUAUAGGAUAGGAUCGUGUUCGAUUAUGGUUGUUGGUGAGAUAAUGGCUCACCAAGCCGAUAAUCGAUAGGGGCCGUGAGAGCGGGAGCCCCGAGAUGGGUACUGAGACAACGACCCAGGCCUUACGAGGCGCAGCAGGCGCGGAACCUCCGCAAUACACGAAAGUGUGACGGGGUUACCCAAAGUGUUUAAUAGAACUGUGGUAGGUGAGUAAUGUCCCCUACUAGAAAGGAGAGGGCAAGGCUGGUGCCAGCCGCCGCGGUAAAACCAGCUCUUCAAGUGGUCGGGAUAAUUAUUGGGCUUAAAGUGUCCGUAGCCGGUUUAGCAAGUUCCUGGUAAAAUCGGGUAGCUUAACUAUCUGUAUGCUAGGAAUACUGCUAUACUAGAGGGCGGGAGAGGUCUGAGGUACUACAGGGGUAGGGGUGAAAUCUUAUAAUCCUUGUAGGACCACCAGUGGCGAAGGCGUCAGACUGGAACGCGCCUGACGGUGAGGGACGAAAGCCAGGGGAGCGAACCGGAUUAGAUACCCGGGUAGUCCUGGCCGUAAACGAUGCAUACUAGGUGAUGGUACGGCCAUGAGCCGUAUCAGUGCCGUAGGGAAACCGUUAAGUGUGCCGCCUGGGAAGUACGGUCGCAAGGCUAAAACUUAAAGGAAUUGGCGGGGGAGCACCACAAGGGGUGAAGCCUGCGGUUC
rnacentral:rRNA from 1 species